CUACGGGCCGCAGCAGUGGGGAAUAUUGGACAAUGGGGGAAACCCUGAUCCAGCAAUGCCGCGUGUGUGAAGAAGGCCUGCGGGUUGUAAAGCACUUUCGGUUGGGAGGACUGCUUCUAGCACUAAUAUUGUUGGAAGUUGACGUUACCUUCAGAAGAAGCACCGGCUAACUCCGUGCCAGCAGCCGCGGUAAUACGGUGGGUGCAAGCGUUAAUCGGAAUUACUGGGCGUAAAGCGCGCGUAGGCGGCUAGAUCAGUCGGGUGUGAAAGCCCCGGGCUUAACCUGGGAACUGCAUCCGAUACUGUCUAGCUUGAGUACAGGAGAGGAGAGCGGAAUUCCACAUGUAGCGGUGAAAUGCGUAGAUAUGUGGAGGAACACCAAUGGCGAAGGCAGCUCUCUGGCCUGAUACUGACGCUGAGGUGCGAAAGCGUGGGGAGCAAACAGGAUUAGAUACCCUUGUAGUC
rnacentral:rRNA from 1 species